UACAGAGGGUGCGAGCGUUGUCCGGAAUUACUGGGCGUAAAGGGCGCGUAGGCGGCCUGGCAAGUGGAUGGUGAAAUCCCUCGGCUUAACCGAGGAACUGCCAUCCAGACUGCUUGGCUUGAGACCGGGAGAGGUGAGUGGAAUUCCCAGUGUAGCGGUGAAAUGCGUAGAUAUUGGGAGGAACACCAGUGGCGAAGGCGGCUCACUGGACCGGUACUGACGCUGAGGCGCGAAAGCGUGGGGAGCAAACGGGG
rnacentral:rRNA from 1 species